GGUUGUUAAUUACCUAGAUAAUCUUUGUAAGAGGGGAUGAAAUAAUAUAUAAAAAAUGAAGUUAAUAAGAUAAUGUUAACUAAAAUUAUUUUGAAAGAAAUAUUUUCUUUUAUAUAUUAUUAUGGAAAGAAAUAACUUUAAAUGUUAGUGCGUAUUCUAAUCAUAAUCUCAUUGCAUAUUAUAAGAAAACAUGGUACGAAUGAGAGUAUAAUCCUAUACUACUAAUCACUUAGCCUAGGGAGAAACUUCCUACACAAUUUGAUGUUCCAAAAUAUGUUAUUUAAUCAACUUGAAAUAAGGAAACCAAGUGGCAGAUUGUUUGGUAGACCGUGCUGCAAAUAAUGAUUGUGAUU
rnacentral:lncRNA from 1 species